AACCGAAUGGUUAAAAAUAAAAACCUUACUUUAAUUUUCUCUAUAACUACCCUUUUCAGUUUCCUCUGUCCGGGGACUCUCUCACCGCCAUUUUUUUCGAGAGAAUCAACACAAUAACCAAAAACAAAUUCUCUGAAGUCAUUAUUUAAAUGCAUUUUUGGGUGAAGAACCGUAAAGAAAGCGAGAGAGAUAAAAAUCAAGAAUUGGAUCAAUAAAUCAUGGAGAACAGAGUUUGUUCAACAGAAUCAGUAAAUGGAAGCUGUGAUGUCUGGAGUUGUCAAAAAUCCGCUGCUGCUUCUGCUGAUCAUCUUGUCAUUAUGGUCCACGGUAUCCUUGGAAGUAACGCAGAUUGGAAGUUUGGAGCAGAGCAGUUUGUUAGAACUUUACCUGAUAAAGUAUUUGUUCAUUGUAGUGAAAAAAAUAUGUUUAGGCUGACACUUGAUGGUGUUGAUGUGAUGGGUGAGCGGUUGGCUGAGGAGGUACUUGAGGUAAUUCAAAGAAAGCAGAAUUUGCGGAAGAUUUCAUUUGUUGCACAUUCUGUGGGAGGAUUAGUGGCCAGAUAUGCAAUUGGAAGAUUGUAUAGACCACCCAAGAAAGAAAAUGUAGCAGAUUCAACUGAUGGUACAAAUGAAGACGACAUAAAGGCUACAAUAGGUGGCUUGGAGCCUAUGAACUUUAUCACGGUUGCUACACCUCACCUUGGUUCAAGAGGAAAUAAGCAGGUUCCAUUUCUUUUUGGUGUAACUGCCUUUGAGAAAGCAGCUCGCCUCUUGAUUCAUUGGAUAUUUAAGAGAACAGGUCGACACCUUUUUCUUACCGAUGAUGAUGAGGGCAAUGCUCCAUUGCUUAAACGCAUGAUAGAAGAUUAUGGUGAUUGUUUUUUCAUGUCGGCAUUGUGUAUAUUCAAACGCCGGGUGGCAUAUUCAAAUGUGGGCUAUGACCAUAUUGUGGGCUGGAGAACGUCGUCCAUCAGGCGUAAUUAUGAAUUGCCAAAGUGGGAAGAUAAUAUGAACAAGGAAUAUCCGCAUAUUGUAUACGAAGAACGCUGUAAGGCCCGUGAUGCCGAGCAGUCUGAACUUAUUUCGACAGAAGAUGAUGGUUCGGACAAGCUAGAAGAGGAACUAGUGGCUGGUUUAUCCCGUGUGUCAUGGGAAAAAGUGGACGUUAGCUUCCAUGCCAGCCGACAGAGGUUUGCUGCUCAUAGUGUAAUUCAGGUCUCUCUCAUUCUCCCCUCAUGCAUGCAUCCAUUCGUCCUCACUGCAGUGUUAUGUUUUUUGGUUAUAUGGUUAAAGAUGAAAUGAUGCAUAUGGAAGGUGCAGAUGUGAUACGACAUAUGAUUGAUCAUUUUCUUCUGUAAAAACCAAUGACUCCUAGACAUAACAACAUUACAGCUGUCCUACAUGGUUGAAGGUUGUCAACUAUCGUGGUGAUGGUGAAUUCAGCUAAAACUACGAAGACUAAACGACCAAUUUAAUAGAAAUUUUGGUUUAUUCAUUUUUGUAUCGUGCAAACAUUUCUAUGAUCAUCAAUAAAUGAAAAACAAAAUGCUACAUAUUUAGCUCUUA